GAAAGAGGCUUGCUAGCAAUGAAAACUGCUAAUUUUCACUUUCCUGGUUGGACUCCAGGACUCACUCG
rnacentral:tRNA from 1 species